rnacentral:rRNA from 1 species
GACGAACGCUAGCGGCGUGCCUAAUACAUGCAAGUAGAACGCAGUUGAGAACGGGUGAGUGACUCGUAUGUAAAUGCUUGGUAGUGGGGGGGAAUAAUUGGAAACAAGAGCUAAUACCGCCUACUGACAGAUGGAUAUUCGAUUUAUUAGCUAGUUGGUGGGGUAACGGCCCACCAAGGGAACGAUACAUAGCCGACCUGAGAGGGUUGUCGGCCACACUGGGACUGAGACACGGCCCAGACUCCGUCGGGAGGCAGCAGUAGGGAAUCUUCGGCAAUGGGCGGAAGUCUGACCGAGCACCGCCGCGUGAGUGAAGAAGGGUUUCGGAUCGUAAAGCUCUGUUGUAAGGGAAGCGGUAUCUUACCAGAAAGGGACGGCUAACUACGUGCCAGCAGCCGCGGUAAUUC